UGACCGCUGGCGGCGUGCCUACUACAUGCACGUCGAGCGAACAGACGAGGAGCUUGCUCCUCUGACGUUAGCGGCGGACGGGUGAGUAACACGUGGAUAACCUACCUAUAAGACUGGGAUAACUUCGGGAAACCGGAGCUAAUACCGGAUAAUAUAUUGAACCGCAUGGUUCAAUAGUGAAAGACGGUUUUGCUGUCACUUAUAGAUGGAUCCGCGCCGCAUUAGCUAGUUGGUAAGGUAACGGCUUACCAAGGCGACGAUGCGUAGCCGACCUGAGGGUGAUCGGCCACACUGGAACUGAGACACGGUCCAGACUCCUACGGGAGGCAGCAGUGGGGAAUCUUCCGCAAUGGGCGAAAGCCUGACGGAGCAACGCCGCGUGAGUGAUGAAGGUCUUCGGAUCGUAAAACUCUGUUAUUAGGGAAGAACAAAUGUGUAAGUAACUAUGCACGUCUUGACGGUACCUAAUCAGAAAGCCACGGCUAACUACGUG
rnacentral:rRNA from 1 species